UCCAGAGGAGCCAAGCGUUGUCCGGAUUGACUGGGCGUAAAGCGCACGCAGGCGGAUGCGCGCGUGGGGUGUGAAAUCUGGCCGCUUAACGGCCAGGCGCCAUCCCAUACGGCGCGUCUGGAGUGAUGCAGAGGUCGAUGGAAUUGCCGGUGUAGUGGUGAAAUGCGUAGAGAUCGGCAGGAACACCCAGGGGGAAACCAGUCGACUGGGCAUCUACUGACGCUGAGGUGCGAGAGCGUGGGGAGCGAACCGG
rnacentral:rRNA from 1 species